rnacentral:tRNA from 4 species
GGGCACGUAGCUUAGCUCGGACCAAAGCGUCGGACUUCUAAUCCGAAUAUCGUGGGUUCGAAUCCCACCGUGCUCG